rnacentral:rRNA from 1 species
GACGAACGCUGGCGGCGUGCUUAACACAUGCAAGUCGAACGGAAAGGCCCUGCUUUUGUGGGGUGCUCGAGUGGCGAACGGGUGAGUAACACGUGAGUAACCUGCCCUUGACUUUGGGAUAACUUCAGGAAACUGGGGCUAAUACCGGAUAGGAGCUCCUGCUGCAUGGUGGGGGUUGGAAAGUUUCGGCGGUUGGGGAUGGACUCGCGGCUUAUCAGCUUGUUGGUGGGGUAGUGGCUUACCAAGGCUUUGACGGGUAGCCGGCCUGAGAGGGUGACCGGAAACAUUGGGACUGAGGUACGGCCCAGACUCCUACGGGAGGCAGCAGUGGGGAAUAUUGCACAAUGGGCGGAAGCCUGAUGCAGCAACGCCGCGUUCGGGAUGACGGCCUUCGGGGUGUAAACCGCUUUCGCCUGUGACGAAGCGUGAGUGACGGUAAUGGGUAAAGAAGCACCGGCUAACUACGUG